UGUACAAUUCUAACAGGUCUUAGCCAGUCCUUCAAGAGCCCAGGAGCUAGAAUGGCUCUUCCAAGUUUUCCAGAAUUGAGACAAAAAGGCCAGGUCUUUGUACAUCUGCAUAGACCAGUUCUUUGAUGUGAGCUAACUCCAGUAAGAGGGUAUAACCUUGAGCAAAGCAGCUCCCUUUAUUCUAGAGCAAUCUCCAAAGUGGUACUCAGCCGUGAAAUGUCUACAUCCAAUACUUCUCGCAGGUGUGGAAAUGCACGCUUCAGAUCUGAAGGGGCAAUGCAGAAGGCAUACCACAGCAUCCACCACAUGCUUCCACAACAAUAAAAAAUAGUUUGGAUAUUACUUAGCUUAAUAGUUCGAAGAUGUGUCUGUAAAAGUCAGCAUAAUGUUCAGUGACCAGCAACUGCUGAGAUGGUAGCUGCUUCAUCAGGUACAUGAGUCCUCAGUUGACCCACAUGGAUAUAUUGUUGCUUCUGUUUCUACAGCAAAACCUAGCCUUCCCUGACAUCCAAAUCUCCAAAGGACAAGUUGCAUGUGAAAAUGAAGACCAAACUAGGUCAUUUCAAACCUCAGUCACCUUCAGAGAGAUUCUAGGAAGGGCACACUAAGAGUCAGCAAAGAGACGACAUUCCUGGAUUCCUGACUUGUUGUCCAGAUCUGCUACUGAAUCAGAUUCAGGCAAGUGUGAA